AGUGAACGCUGGCGGUAGGCCUAACACAUGCAAGUCGAACGGCAGCACAGUAAGAGCUUGCUCUUACGGGUGGCGAGUGGCGGACGGGUGAGGAAUACAUCGGAAUCUACUUUUUCGUGGGGGAUAACGUAGGGAAACUUACGCUAAUACCGCAUACGACCUACGGUUGAAAUCAGGGGAUCUUCGGACCUUGCGCGAUUGAAUGAGCCGACGUCGGAUUAGCUAGUUGGCGGGGUAAAGGCCCACCAAGGCGACGAUCCGUCGCUGGUCUGAGAGGAUGAUCAGCCACACUGGAACUGAGACACGGUCCAGACUCCUACGGGAGGCAGCAGUGGGGAAUAUUGGACAAUGGGAGCAAGCCUGAUCCAGCCAUACCGCGUGGGUGAAGAAGGCCUUCGGGUUGUAAAGCCCUUUUGUUGGGAAAGAAAAGCAGCAGGUUAAUACCCCGCUGUUCUGACGGUACCCAAAGAAUAAGCACCGGCUAACUUCGUG
rnacentral:rRNA from 1 species